UUUGACCUUUGACCUCAAAUCAGGUAGG
rnacentral:rRNA from 1 species